AUUGAACGCUGGCGGCAGGCCUAACACAUGCAAGUCGAACGAGUGGCGGACGGGUGUGUAAUGUCUGUGAAACUGCCUGAUGGAUGGGGUUAACUCGUGGAAACGGUAGCUAAUACCGCAUACCAUCGGAUGUGCCCUGAUGGGAUUAGCUAGUAGGUGGGGUAAAGGCUCACCGAGGCGACGAUCCCUAGCUGGUCUGAGAGGAUGACCAGCCACACUGGAACUGAGACACGGUCCAGACUCCUACGGGAGGCAGCAGUGGGGAAUAUUGCACAAUGGGCGCAAGCCUGAUGCAGCCAUGCCGCGUGUAUGAAGAAGGCCUUCGGGUUGUAAAGUACUUUCAUCGGGGAGGCGUUACCCGCAGAAGAAGCACCGGCUAACUCCGUGCCAGCAGCCGCGGUAAUAC
rnacentral:rRNA from 1 species